rnacentral:rRNA from 1 species
GUCUACAACCGUGCUACCCUGAACAAUCCCAAUCCCAUCUGAUCUCGGAAGCUAAGCAGGAUUGGGCCUGGUUAAUACUUGGAUGGGCGACCAUGUAGAAAGAUCAGGUGCUGUAGGAG